AUUUAACGCUAGCGGUAUGCUUUACACAUGCAAGUCGAACGAGUGGCGUACGUGUGUAUCAUAUAUCGGACCGUCCCCAGUAGCUGGGGAUAACUACUCGAAAGAGUGGCUAAUCCCGCAUACUUUUGGAGCGUCCGAUACCGGAUUAGCUAGUUGGUGGGGUAAAGGCUAACCAAGGCAACGAGCCGUAGCUGGUUUGAGAGGGCGACCAGACACACUGGGACUGAGACACGGCCCAGACUCCGACGGGAGGCAGCAGUGGGGAAUGUUGGACAAGGGUGGAAGGCCUGAUACAGCCAUCCCGCAUGUAUGAGAAGGACUUCGGGUUGUAAGGUACUGUUGGUAGAGAAGCGGUAUCUGCAGAAUAAGCACCGGCUAACUACGUGCCAGCAGCCGCGGUAAUAC
rnacentral:rRNA from 1 species